UACAGAGGUCUCAAGCGUUGUUCGGAUUCAUUGGGCGUAAAGGGUGCGUAGGUGGCUUGGUAAGUUGAAGGUGAAAUCUCGGGGCUUAACUCCGAAACUGCCUUCAAUACUGCUGAGCUCGAGGAUUGUAGAGGAGAAUGGAAUUCACGGUGUAGCAGUGAAAUGCGCAGAUAUCAGGAGGAACACCGGUGGCGAAGGCGGAUCUCUGGGCCUUACCUGACGCUGAGGCGCGAAAAGCUAGGGGGAGCGAACAGG
rnacentral:rRNA from 1 species